GAUUAUUAGAUCGAAAAAUUACGUAUUAAUUGACUAGCAAUGUAUCUGCGCAUGCGCGGCGCGAAUUGUUUAAUCGUCUUGCCGGUGAAUAUGACGCCAUUUUGUGUUCGGUGAUCAUUAGUUAGACAGGGAAGCCGUAUCCUCCUCAUUAAUUUCAGGUUUCCAAGAAUUCUAUGGACUGAAACAGACGGAAUAUUUUGGCUUUUCUUUUUCUACACAUACUUUCUCGUCGUCCUAUGUAUAGCUUUUUGGAUCUUAGAAAUAAUUUGUGAUCGUGUGCAAAGCGGUCUUAGAAUCAGUGUUUGCUCGUACCAGUUUUAAUUUACUUUUUUAUGGUUAAAUAAGUUGAUCAAAUAUAAUUAGAUUCAAUAGAAAUUCGCGAAUUAGAGUCAUACUUGGAUUAAAGCAUCAUCAUUCUUCAUUAUCUUGGAGCAGGAUGCUCAUCGUGCAAAGGACUAACAAGAGCUCCGCUCAAAUGAAAGAAGAAUCAUCCUUUUCAUAAUCACGGGGCAGGAUGCUCAUCGUGCAAGCCUUAAUGAAGAUUUUAAAACGUCAUUGCGAUCGUGCGCGAAGCAAUGGAUAAAUCGAGUGUUGUAUCGCUAAAAUAAAAAGUAAAAAGUCGCGAAGUAGAAGCAGUGUGUUUGUUCGUUCGUGUUUCGCGAUUUAAACUUGUGUGUGUGUUCUUGGCUCGACUGCGUGCAAUGCAGUUAUUAGAAUCAGUGUUUGUUCUCGAAGUUUUUUCACAGUCGCACAUGAUUGUAUUUAUAAAAGACAAUAGAAUUUCGCGCAUUAACUUCAGUGAACGUUCGUUAAAAAAUAACUAACGCGUAUUAGAAUCAGUGCAUCAUUGAAGAGGAUCUCGACCAACUUCGAUGUCGACUUACUACCUCAUUUUGAACCAACUACAAAUCAUCCACCCUCAAUUUCGACCUAAAUCGCGGACGAGUGUUUUGGAGCCAUCGCAGAACUUCUUAAGUAGUAAGUGAACAAAUUUUAAGUUCCUCCAGUGCUCAAUCAUGCCGAGGACGAAUGGUCCGAAUCGGCACGAGUUACUGGUUGUAAUUUUUUUUAGAUGAAUUAUUAACGAGCAUGACCGAGAGUAAUUCCCUCUUUUGGAUUUACUCACGAGUACAAAGAUUUAUUUUUAAUCGUCCAUUUACUUUCAAUUGUCCAUGUUUGUUUUUAUUAGCUUAGGCUAUAGGGUCUUCUUGUUUCAUCGGCUCGACUCGUUUAAUUAUCAGUGCAUAAAAUUAGUUAUUUCGCGAUAUUAAUUAUGAAAUCGGGCAUUCAUUUACCCUAUUUCGUCAAGAGAAAAACAUGUAUUAUGGUUUAGAUUACAUGCAUUGAUUAUUUCGUACUUACUAUUAAUCUAUUUAAUCGCGGUCUAUCACGUCGAUGUAUCGAUAUAAAUGUAUCAAAAAAUGAGCAAGAAGACAAUCGCGACGGAUAGAUUUUGGAAAACAAGUGGUAGAUAUUCAUGAUACUUGCUCUAUAAUUAAAAUAACCACUUGUUAAAAGAAAUCGUCCGAGGUUUUUCGAUGAAAAAUUUAAAUAAAUAUUCAAUGAAUUUUUUUGAUGAAUGAAAAGUCUCAAUAGAGUCAUUGUUUUUGAAAGGAAAAAGUCGAGUAGAGUAAUUGUUAAAAAAAAAAAAAAAAAAAAAAACAAAGAGACUUGUAAAGUCAUAGCCCGUAGAAUCUAAAAUAAAUUAAUCAAUUUUUAGAUCAGGAUUUUCAGCUUCUAACAAACUAAUUAUCUCCCCUCGCCCUCAUGCUUUCUGCGUUCCUCAUCCAUGCAUGUGCCCAGGUGUUACUCGUAUGGAUGAGAAACGGGAUUAGUAUGGGUUUAGUUUUAAGUUCUCCCUUAUUGGCGGCUGUCAAUGUGUUAGUGAUUGCGCACGAUAUACUUUUCAUCUGUGUGUGCUUGCUCGUGUUAGGUGGUGGAUUGUAUAUCGUUUCGCGAUAAUUUUUAAAUAAUUACAUAUCCUAUAAAUUCAAUAUAUUAUUAUUAAUAUCGUUUUGCAUAGUAGAGUUACUACAUUUUCUUGAAAUAUUCAAAUACUCAUAUAUUACUAAUACCGUUGUGGUAUACCGGUAUGUACUAGUAUCUUUUUUUUUUUUCCUUUAACCAUUUACGCAAUUAAUAAUCAUUAGCCUUGACAGCCGAUUACAGCAAUUGGUACGUAUCCCCUAAUUAACUAUGAAUUAUACGCGUAUGAGCUAGGGUGUCGGAGGUGCCCCGGGGCAUACUCUCUAGUGUAGGCUUUUGCAUCCUGGCGGUAUGUGAGAGAAUCGUGGAGUGUAUGUGUUGGAACGAAUGUUUUGCAAUAUUUUAAAUAUAGGUUAUAGGCAGGCAGGUAGCAUAUCUUUUUCUGUGUGAUUGUCCGUUUAAUUUUAAGCAGGUAGGAUCGAAUAAGACGCGCAGGGUAUAAUUUUCACUCAAAAGUGGAAAUUUCCGUCUCCGGAUAUUAUACAAAGUUUCAGCAAAUUUUAGAAUUUUUCAACAUGUUCGCCUUUUUCCAUAUUUUGCUGAUACUCUGUAUUGCGAUAUAUAUCAGUAUCAAACAGUUUAAAAGUCUUUGCAUAAGACUUUUCAACAUGUUCGAUAUUUAGUAUUAAGUGUAUUAACAGUUUGCACUUUCGUGAUAUCCCAUAAUAAUUUCUAAUAUCUAAUAUAUUAUAUAUCUGUAGUGAAGUAAAAGUAAUGAAAGUACAAAAUUGUGAGAGAAAUUUGUGUUGGAAAUGAAUGCUUUGUUAUUUUUUUAAAUAUAGGUUAUAGCCAGGCUGGUUAGAGUAUAUAUCUUUUUCUGUACGAUUGUAUGUUUAAUUUUAAAUAAGUAGAACUGAUUUUUGGGUAUUAAAGCGCCUAAAAUGGCUGCUAUUUAAAUUCUAUUAUAUGCAUAUAUGCAUUUCCGAAAAGGGAAACAUAUUGAAAAUGACAUAUAAUUACUUCACCGUUAUUUUCUAUGAUGAACAUAAUUUCAUUGGAAAUAUAUCGAAGAAUUUAUUAGAUUUCUUGAAUUUAAAACAUUUUAAAAAUUUGAUACUAUUGAAUUAUUUA